CUCCCCUUCUCUCAGAGGAACACAACCCAACACCCACAGAUUUGCCCUCUGGCCCACAUACCUUCAGACUGGAGGAGUUAGCAUACACGCGCAGUGGAGACAAAGGGGACUCCUCAAACAUCGGCGUUAUUGCAAGACACCCACUGUUUUUCCCUACCUGAAAAAAGUGUUUAACUGCUGAAGUUGUGGAGCAGUAUUUCCAACAUUUGAUCAGAAAGGAUAAGACUGAUCUACCCUCCGUCAUACGGUACGAACUGCCUGGCAUUCAUGGUCUGAACUUUGUGCUUCCAAACUCACUUGGAGGGGGAGGGGUGGCGUCACUGCGCAGCGACCCUCAGGGAAAAGCCUACGGUCAAAUGCUGCUCGACUACAAACUGAAAGGCCUUCCUGAUUUGAAA